rnacentral:lncRNA from 1 species
GUUCAUUUAUAUGUCUUACACUAUUUAUUCAUAUGUCUUUGUAUUUAUUUAAUAUUGAACACUGAUUAGAAAACGAGAGAAGCUGAAAGGAAAGUUAGCCAAACACUUUGGGAAGACAUAUGAAAGGGACACAGCUGACAGUAGUCUAGUGCCGCAGAGAUACAAGCUACAUGAAAGGCAGUUUUAAAAUCAGAAACAAAGUAACAUGUCAAUACAAAAGCAGUGUCUCAUUCAGCUGAUGUUUGGAAUUUGUAAUGUGGUCAGGAGGUCCGUGGUAUGUCCAAGGUCCUGGAGCAGAAAGAACAGGCAGUUACCAUCGGACAGGCAAAGCUGGAGAAAGCAAGAAAACAGUACCAGUCAGAAGCAGCUGCUGUAGACAGCACACUGGUCAGGAUGGUUCAGAUGGAACAUGAGACAAUGGCAAAGAAGAGAGAAAUGGAUAUUGAGCUAUGUGAACUGAGCGCAGAAGAAAAGGAGCUGAAAAGGCUGAUAGAAACACAUCUUAGCCCCACAGGCCAGAGUAGGCUCAAUGUGCAGGAAAUUGAAGAAUUGAAGUCAAUUCCUGCCACAGAUCAUCAGUGUUACGACAUCUGUGGUGCUUCUCAGUCUGACAUCGAGCUGGUGGAGGAAAUGGAGGCUCUGAGAGAGGAUCUGGACUGUGCUGACCUGCAGGUUUGA